rnacentral:rRNA from 1 species
GAUGAACGCUGGCGGCGUGCCUAAUACAUGCAAGUCGAGCGAACAGACGAGGAGCUUGCUCCUCUGACGUUAGCGGCGGACGGGUGAGUAACACGUGGAUAACCUACCUAUAAGACUGGGAUAACUUCGGGAAGCCGGAGCUAAUACCGGAUAAUAUAUUGAACCGCAUGGUUCAAUAGUGAAAGACGGUUUUGCUGUCACUUAUAGAUGGAUCCGCGCCGCAUUAGCUAGUUGGUAAGGUAACGGCUUACCAAGGCGACGAUGCGUAGCCGACCUGAGAGGGUGAUCGGCCACACUGGAACUGAGACACGGUCCAGACUCCUACGGGAGGCAGCAGUAGGGAAUCUUCCGCGAUGGGCGAAAGCCUGACGGAGCAACGCCGCGUGAGUGAUGAAGGUCUUCGGAUCGUAAAACUCUGUUAUUAGGGAAGAACAAAUGUGUAAGUAACUAUGCACGUCUUGACGGUACCUAAUCAGAAAGCCACGGCUAACUACGUG